UACGUAGGGGGCAAGCGUUGUCCGGAUUUAUUGGGCGUAAAGCGCGUGUAGGCGGCCACGCAGGUCCGCUGUGAAAACUCGAGGCUCAACCUCGAGCUGUCGGUGGAAACCGCGUGGCUAGAGUCCGGAAGAGGGGACUGGAAUUCCCGGUGUAGCGGUGAAAUGCGCAGAUAUCAGGAAGAACACCCGUGGCGAAGGCGGCUCUCUGGUACGUGACUGACGCUGAGACGCGAAAGCGUGGGGAGCAAACAGG
rnacentral:rRNA from 1 species